rnacentral:rRNA from 1 species
UACGUAGGUGACCAGCGUUGUCCGGAUUUACUGGGCGUAAAGAGCGCGCAGGCGGUCGUUCAAGUCGAGUGUGAAAGCCCCCGGCUCAACUGGGGAGGGUCAUUCGAUACUGAUCGACUGGAAGGCAGGAGAGGGAAGCGGAAUUCCCGGUGUAGUGGUGAAAUGCGUAGAUAUCGGGAGGAACACCAGUGGCGAAGGCGAGUCCCUGGACAACUCCUGACACUGAGGCACGAAAGCUAGGGGAGCAAACAGG